AGAGUUUGAUCCUGGCUCAGGAUGCUUGCUAGCUACAGGCUUAACACAUGCAAGUCGAGGGGCAGCAUGAACUUAGCUUGCUAAGUUUGAUGGCGACCGGCGCACGGGUGAGUAACACGUAUCCAACCUUCCGUUUACUCAGGGAUAGCCUUUCGAAAGAAAGAUUAAUACCUGAUAGUAUGGUGAGAUUGCAUGAUGGCACCAUUAAAGAUUUAUUGGUAAACGAUGGGGAUGCGUUCCAUUAGGUAGUAGGCGGGGUAACGGCCCACCUAGCCUGCGAUGGAUAGGGGUUCUGAGAGGAAGGUCCCCCACAUUGGAACUGAGACACGGUCCAAACUCCUACGGGAGGCAGCAGUGAGGAAUAUUGGUCAAUGGACGCAAGUCUGAACCAGCCAUGCCGCGUGCAGGAUGACGGCUCUAUGAGUUGUAAACUGCUUUUGUACGAGGGUAAACUCACCUACGUGUAGGUGACUGAAAGUAUCGUACGAAUAAGGAUCGGCUAACUCCGUGCCAGCAGCCGCGGUAAUACGGAGGAUUCAAGCGUUAUCCGGAUUCAUUGGGUUUAAAGGGUGCGUAGGCGGUUAGAUAAGUUAGAGGUGAAAUCCCGGGGCUUAACUCCGAAAUUGCCUCUAAUACUGUUUGACUAGAGAGUAGUUGCGGUAGGCGGAAUGUAUGGUGUAGCGGUGAAAUGCUUAGAGAUCAUACAGAACACCGAUUGCGAAGGCAGCUUACCAAACUAUAUCUGACGUUGAGGCACGAAAGCGUGGGGAGCAAAAAGGAUUAGAUACCCUGGUAGUCCACGCAGU
rnacentral:rRNA from 1 species